UACAGAGGUGGCAAGCGUUGUUCGGAAUUACUGGGCGUAAAGGGCGCGUAGGCGGCCUUGUAAGUCCCGUGUGAAAUCCCUCGGCUCAACUGAGGAACUGCACGGGAAACUGCUUGGCUUGAGUUCGGGAGAGGGAAGCGGAAUUCCGGGUGUAGCGGUGGAGAUGCGUAGAUAUCAGGAGGAACACCGGUGGCGAAGGCGGCAUCCUGGACCAAUUCUGACGCUGAGGAGCGAAAGCCAGGGGAGCAAACGGG
rnacentral:rRNA from 1 species